GUGAGUCAUCGAAUCUUUGAACGCACCUUGCGCUCUCUGGUAUUCCGGAGAGCAUGCCUGUUUGAGUGUCAUGAACUCUUCAACCCACCGGUUCCUUGUUGAACCGAGUUGGUGUUUGGUUUUUGAGUGUUUUGCUUUGUUUUCGGACAUAGCUCGCUCGUAAUACAUUAGCAUCUCGAUUUCGAAAUUUCGGAUUGACUCAGCGUAAUAGACUAUUCGCUGAGGACACCUUUACCGGUGGCCGUAAUUAUGAUAACAGUAGACGCUUCCAAUCCUACUAGUCAAUUUUAUGAUUAGACC
rnacentral:misc_RNA from 1 species